UCGACUUGCGUAUGACAUUGUACAUCCUCUGAAAAAAACUUAAGCCCUGCAGUUUUGAAGUCAGUCAAAACCAAUUCAAUAUGACCAGAAACUGCAAGAAAUCAACAGAGAUUGGCAGAGGCCGUUUUUAAGAAAAAACAGCAACUUUCCAUUUAAUGCCAAUUUUUUGUAAAAACGAAGUCUUUAGGCGUGCAAAAAUGGUCAAGUUUUUGAGGUAUUUUUCUCCAAAAUUGCAAUAUGAUCAGAGAUUUAUCAGGAUUGGCAAUGGAAGCUGUUCUUAUGAAGAAUUUAUGACUCUUAAGGACACUCGAUUUUUUGCGAAGAAAGCACGACUCUAGGCUUGCAAACAUGGUCAUAUUUUGGAGGGGAUUUUUUCUCCAAAAGCAGACGGAAUCGUUACAAUAUAAUAAAAAACAACCAGAAAUCAAUAAGGAUUGGCAAUGGACGCAGUCUUCUGUUUACCACUUUUUAUGUCCGUCAAUUUUGAAGGGGAAUUUGUUGUUGCAAAAUUAGACAGAACCCAUUUGAUGUGAUAAAACCGCUCGAAAUCAAUGUAGAUUGUGAGACGAAGCUGUUUUAUGGAGAAUUGGCGACAUAUAAUGACUACUGAUUUUUCUAAGAAAGCAAGUGUAGUUUCGUGCAAAAAUUGUCAAAUUUUUGAGAUGAUUUUCUGGCACCAAUAUUAGACAAAAUCGAUUCGAUGUGAACUGAAGCCACUGCAAAUAAAGUUAGAUUGGUAGAGGCGACUGUUUUUUUGGAGAGUUGAUUACUUUAAAUGACUAUCGAUUUUUCUUAAAAAGCAAGUCUAUAGGGUUGCAAAAUUUCUCGAAUUUUUUAGGGGAAUAUAUUCUCAACUGUAAGACAGAAUCGAUUUAAUACUGCCAGAAGCUACUGGACGACAAGACUUUUAGGGUUGUCGUUUUUAUGACGAAUUGACGACAUUAUGUAUCUAAAAGUUUGUUGGCUUGCAAUAAUUUUCGUAAUUUUUCGUGGGGUUUCAAAUUGUGGAGGUGAUUUUUUGCAUCAAUUUGAUGGAAUCGUUUUCAAGAUGCUCGAGAACUACCAGAAAUCAAUAAAGAUUGGCAGCAGAAGCUGCUAUUAUGGAGAAUAGGCUUCUUUUUUGACGGUCUAGUAGCAUUUGGAAUUAAGUUUUGCAAUGCCGGUGAAAUGGAAAUUCUGCUCACAACGAAAAUCUAAUAAAGUGCCAGGUUAGUCAGUUACUUCGUCUGUAAGUUAUUUUGUAGGUUAUUGUUUUGAAAACGACUAUAUAUGUCAGCCAAGUAGGUAUUAAAACUUAUUUGUUAAAAAAGGAUUUGACUUGUUGUGGGAAGUUCUAUUUAUUGAACGUAAUUUUCUCAGUUUGUUGUGUUUCUCAAUUUAAACUCUCUACUGAUCUGUUAAAUUUAAUUUUAUGCCUUGUUGUUGCUACGUCAUCAGAAUGUUGCCACUACUUAUACAUAAUGAUUAAGACUAGAAAUGCAUCCUUCCUUUGGGGAUUAAGCCAUUUCUAAUGACGAAAUACCUACUGCUUGCUUUUUACCAGUUUCUUGUGAAAGUACUAAAGAAGAAAUCUAUUAUUUAGAUUAUGCUCAUUUGUGAUUUUCAAUUGAUCUGAGUCUCCGAGAUAUUUAUCGUUGUUCCUAAGCUGUUUUGAUAUUGGGCUUGCUUGAUAUGUUAUUUCUUUGGCUUAUAGCACAGCUCACCCUUGGUUUAUGUUUGUCAAUACAUCGGUGAAUUCAAUACUGUUACAAUUAUCUCUAUUGCAAACAGAAAGCACGUCUUGGUCGAACUCAGAAACAACUGACGACAAAAAUAAAAGCAGUUGUUUGUUAUGUCAGCAAGACAAAAUGGGGGAGAUUGGAAGUCAAAUGGGUUAGUCAUUUGUAUGAGUCAAAAUCUACAAAGCCUUCAAGAAAUGGAGAAAGGAAACAUGAAUAUGGACUUGUUCAACAUUUGUCUUAUACUUUUGAAGAAGUGCUGAAGGAAUCAUUCAAACAUAAGGAUGUUUGCCCACUAACAUUUGUACAUUUACGUUUGCUCGCGGUAAAAAUCAGAAUUAAUUUAGCCGGGAUGAAAGUUUUAUAUAGAAAACAAUUUUGAAAUUAGAUAGCUUUGGUACGUAAAACUUGUUAAAAUAGCAUUUACUUAUCUAAUUAAUUGGAAUAUUAGUUUUAUGUGUAAAAUUGUUUGAAAAAAACGUCAAAUAAGUUUCAAGUCAGCUAAUGCCUUAUGUGCCUAUGCUGUAUUUUCUGGAGUCACUGUAUUUGCCUUCAAAUCUUAACAGGAUUUUGAUAGCCUGCUUGACACCACUGCAACUACCAGAUUACUGGAAUCCAACCAGUUGCUUUUAAAAUGUCAGAAGCUUUGCGAAGCAAGGAGAGAGGGGACGAUUACUGAACCAAGGACUGAAAAAAACAGAUGUUGAAAUUCAGUUUGCAGUCAUCGUGAUCAUCCGUUCGCACGAAUGCAUAUCUCUAGAGCUUGAAAUCCAAAAAUCUAAAGGAUGUUAUUUCAAACUUGAACCGAAAGCAGGAUGUCAUGAGCACAGUUAAGGAGGGUCUUAAAAAAAAAGACGAGGAACAUUCUCAUGGAUUUGGCAGAGUCUUGAAAAAACAUCUUCGACUCUUGUGUGAAUUUGUGCAAGCAAAACGCCGGGGGAACUAGGAAAAGGGAUCUUGAGGAAGGCUGGCUAUCAGCUGCAUUUUUGUUGGAAGAAAAGUACGAUUUGGGACAACGAGAAGCUCUUUAUGCACCUGUAGAGUUCCUUUUUACUGACGGUGGCUUGGAGGUAAAAGAUAUACAAACGUGUUUUAAGACACUGGGUGUUGUCACUAGAGAAUAGAGGCAAGAGAAUAGUGCAGAGUUCCUGUGGAGAAUGAAACUUUACGUUGUCUACGCUAUUCCAAGAAGGAAGCUUCACACAUCAGUGGGAAGAACCGUGUACCUCUGCUUGUUUUAUCCAGUUCCAUUCAGCAAUGUCGCGUUGAUCAAGCAUCCAUAACGGUGAUGCAAACUUUAAUUUCAGCUGAUGCCAAAAGUCAACCUUGGACUAGAAGGCCAGAAUCCAUCGGGAAGAAUGUUGCUACAUAUGCCACUAAAUUAUCAUGGGAAGAAAACAAGAAGAAGAAAAAAUCCAAGGUGAAAUAAAUUAAGAACUCUUUGAGAAGUCACUUUGACUUAACAAUGACAAUCUUUCAUUUGAGUAUAACCUUUACUUUUGUGUUCGUAGCAUUCAUUAUAGUGCCAAAGGCAUAACAACAACCCAUUACUAAAUAAUAAAAAUAGAAGCUAAGUAAAAUUAUAAAGACAGGAAACGAUAAUUUUUUGUCUGAUUAUAAUAUAGUAGCACGAAAGCCUCAAUAUCACCCGACCUUUCUCUGGUAAUGUACACCAAAUGUCUGAUGAAAGUACAGCCUUGUCACUAUUGGAUCGAUUGAAAUGCUUUGAUAACUAUCACCAAUUACCUAACCUAACUUUCAAAUACCUAGCUUUGAAAUGUAACUUUCGAAGAAGAAGAGGGGUAAUUUGCAACCUAAAUGAAGACAAGUUAACAGAAGCCGAUAAUGUUACAUAAAAAUUUCUUAACAUGGCAAUAGACGUUGACUCUGAGCCACUAGCUGAUAUAUUGAAUAGCUCUCUUUUCGAUAAA